UGUGAUGCGGCUCUACUACUCUACCAUGUGUUCCUACUACUAGCUCUAGUCGUGGAUGCUGGGUAGCUCCCUGUUUUCUCUGUUUUUAUGUAAUCCUAGAUAGAACCAUACAACUGUGGAUGACAAACACUGCAAUUUAAUCUAAAAUUGUCAUCAUGAUCCUAGCAAAUACUCCUCAAAUUACUGUAAAUUGUUGCACGAUUAGGGGCUAGUGUAGAUGCAAAAUAAGGUUGCACUUUUAGAGGAGAUAAGCCACUGAUGUUGGAUGCUUGGUAGUUGUCUUGUGUUGUGUGCAUGUCGGUACUAGCAGUAUGUCCGUGAGCAACAAGCAUACGAUUUGUGCAUAUGCUCUACUGUAUUGGCCUCAUGGGUCAUCGCUGAUUGACCAGGACUAUAGAUUAUUCCUUCAGCGUACUAUCGCUUUCUCAAGUCAACUCAAGCAACAAUUCAUGUGGCUCGCUCAAUCGGGUGGGCGGCAUAUUUAUUCAGUAUAUUCUCUGAAAUUGCAAGUUCUGAAGUGUAUCAUUUUUUUGUGCAGUCAGAGAGCUGAACGGGGCGAGGCUGGAGGCGUCGGUGAGGGCGUACGGUGGUGCCGGCCAGAGCAAGGUGUCCAACAAAUGGUUUGUAAGUUAAAAUGAUGCCCAGGGUUCAGGACAUGUGUGAUUUCUCUUGACAUAGGUGCUCCUUCAUUGCCGCUGCCAUAUGCCAAAGCCGGCAAUGAACUCCUAGAUGACAGUGGAAGCCAUGUUGUUGUUUUGUUUGUUCCCAGCCCUGACUAUGGUCUUCGAGCGAGUCCGGCAUGUUGUUCAUCUGACUAUGUUCAUCCAGCGAGUCCAGUAUGUUCAUGACAGGAGCAGGUAGUUUGUGAUCACAUGGAAGGAGCUUGUAAAGCAGUACUGUAUUACAUGUAGAGCUUGUUACACUUGUAGAGCUUGUAAAGCAGUAUGGUCCUCUGUAUUGGAACGGAUAGAGCUUGUAUUAUGUGAUCUGGUUGCUCUUAUUUAAGUAUCAUGUGUGUUUUUGUCUCUGCCAAACAAAAUAAUGCUUGAAAUAUGAAGAAUAUGAGCCUGAUAGAUGGGACCCGCUUACCAAAACAUGACA